rnacentral:rRNA from 1 species
GACGAACGCUGGCGGCGUGCCUAAUACAUGCAAGUCGAGCGAAGUUUUUCUGGUGCUUGCACUAGAAAAACUUAGCGGCGAACGGGUGAGUAACACGUAAAGAACCUGCCUCAUAGACUGGGACAACUAUUGGAAACGAUAGCUAAUACCGGAUAACAGUAUUUCUCGCAUGAGAGAUAUUUAAAAGUUGGUUAUGCUAACACUAUGAGAUGGCUUUGCGGUGCAUUAGCUAGUUGGUGGGGUAAAGGCCCACCAAGGCGACGAUGCAUAGCCGACCUGAGAGGGUGAUCGGCCACACUGGGACUGAGACACGGCCCAGACUCCUACGGGAGGCAGCAGUAGGGAAUCUUCCGCAAUGGGCGAAAGCCUGACGGAGCAACGCCGCGUGAGUGAAGAAGGAUUUCGGUUCGUAAAGCUCUGUUGUUAGGGAAGAAUGGAUAUGUAGUAACUAUACAUGUAAGAGGCGGUACCUAACCAGAAAGCCACGGCUAACUACGUG